UGUCAUUAUACCAUGGUCUGGGUGAAUACUCAAUUCCGAUUGGCUGCAGGGUGUCCAUAAAAAAGUGACACCAGCUAAAGCAGUUACGGUGAAACUGACUGUUUACUGUUCUAAAUUGAUGCGCUACAUUAAAACAAAAAGGAAAUGUGAAUUUGUUCAUUUUAACACUGUGAGGUUCUUCAGUGCCUCGUCCUCUGAACACCCCAGGAUGGUGCUAACACACAAGCUGCAAGAAGAAAGUUUUAGGGACCUUCUGAACUGACUUUGUUUCACGGUGAAUAACGUUAUCCACAUCCCGUUCACUGUUCAGGUCGCUACUGCAGGCUGCGGCCGACAGUAAUGUUAGAUAGUUAUCCAU